GUGGGGAAUAUUGGACAAUGGGCGCAAGCCUGAUCCAGCCAUGCCGCGUGAGUGAUGAAGGCCCUAGGGUUGUAAAGCUCUUUCACCGGUGAAGAUAAUGACGGUAACCGGAGAAGAAGCCCCGGCUAACUUCGUGCCAGCAGCCGCGGUAAUACGAAGGGGGCUAGCGUUGUUCGGAAUUACUGGGCGUAAAGCGCACGUAGGCGGACAUUUAAGUCAGGGGUGAAAUCCCGGGGCUCAACCCCGGAACUGCCUUUGAUACUGGGUGUCUGGAGUAUGGAAGAGGUAAGUGGAAUUCCGAGUGUAGAGGUGAAAUUCGUAGAUAUUCGGAGGAACACCAGUGGCGAAGGCGGCUCACUGGUCCAUUACUGACGCUGAGGUGCGAAAGCGUGGGGAGCAAACAGGAUUAGAAACCCCGGUAGUCC
rnacentral:rRNA from 1 species